UACGAAGGGGGCUAGCGUUACCCGGAUUUACUGGGCGUAAAGGAUGUGUAGGCGGUUAUGUUAGUCUUUUGUUAAAUCUGUGGGCUCAACCCACAGGCUGCAGAGGAAACGGCAUAACUAGAGGAUGUGAGAGGUGUACGGAACUCAUGGUGUAGGGGUGAAAUCCGUUGAUAUCAUGGGGAACACCAAAUGCGAAGGCAGUACACUGGCGCAUUCCUGACGCUGAGACAUGAAAGCUAGGGUAGCGAACGGG
rnacentral:misc_RNA from 1 species